rnacentral:snRNA from 1 species
UAAAUUUCUUCUCCCCCCCCCCACGGGUGAGCUCCCAGGGCGAGGCACGAGCAUUGCCACUGCGCUCGUGUUGACCCCUGCCACUACCCCAAACAGGGGCAGAUGGGGGCAGUAAUUUUGGUAGAGGGGGAGACUGCGUGCGCGCUUUCCCCCC